UAACCGAAGUUACGUUCUUUUUUGGUCGCAUGGCAGAGGGAAGAAAGGGAGGCUCUUCGGAGCUUUCGCUGAAGAUGGGGAUGCGUCUGAUUAGCUUGUUGGCGGGGUUAACGGCCCACCAAGGCGACGAUCAGUAGGGGUUCUGAGAGGAAGGUCCCCCACAUUGGAACUGAGACACGGUCCAAACUCCUACGGGAGGCAGCAGUGAGGAAUCUUCCGCAAUGGGCGAAAGCCUGACGGAGCAACGCCGCGUGAGUGAAGAAGGCCUUCGGGUCGUAAAGCUCUGUUGUCGGGGACGAAUGUGCGGAUUAUCAACAACGAUCUGCAAUGACGGUACCUGACGAGGAAGCCACGGCUAACUACGUG
rnacentral:rRNA from 1 species